UACGUAGGGUGCAAGCGUUGUCCGGAAUUAUUGGGCGUAAAGAGCUCGUAGGCGGUCUGUCACGUCGGCUGUGAAAACCCGAGGCUCAACCUCGGGCCUGCAGUCGAUACGGGCAGACUAGAGUUCGGUAGGGGAGACUGGAAUUCCUGGUGUAGCGGUGAAAUGCGCAGAUAUCAGGAGGAACACCCGUGGCGAAAGCGGCUCUCUGGGACGGUACUGACGCUGAGACGCGAAAGCGUGGGGAGCAAACAGG
rnacentral:rRNA from 1 species